UUAGAUGUUCUGGGCCGCACGUGUGACACAAUGAUAUAUACAAUAAGUUAUAAUUUAUUAAUAUACCUAAAUUGAAAAAUUAUGGUAAUCUUUAAUAUAUAUCGUGUUUGGGAUUGAUGCUUGUAAUUAUUCAUCAUGAACGAGGAACACCUAGUAAGUGUAAAUCAUCAGUUUACGCUGAAUACGUCCCUGCCC
rnacentral:rRNA from 1 species